rnacentral:rRNA from 1 species
UACAGAGGGUGCGAGCGUUAAUCGGAAUUACUGGGCGUAAAGCGUGCGUAGACGGUAGCGUAAGUCAGAUGUGAAAGCCCCGGGCUCAACCUGGGAAUGGCAUUUGGGACUGCAAGGCUUGAGUGCGGCAGAGGAGACUGGAAUUCCUGGUGUAGCAGUGAAAUGCGUAGAUAUCAGGAGGAACACCUGUGGUGUAGACAGCUUACUGGACCACUUCUGACGCUGAGACACGAAAGCGUGGGUAGCAAACAGG